rnacentral:rRNA from 1 species
UGGGGAAUAUUGCGCAAUGGGCGAAAGCCUGACGCAGCGACGCCGCGUGUGGGAUGACGGCCUUCGGGUUGUAAACCACUGUCGGGAGGGACGAAUGCGCCGCAAGGCGAGUGACGGUACCUCCAAAGGAAGCACCGGCUAACUCCGUG